CUCCGCCCUCGCCCCGCCCCGCGCGCGCGGCGGCCGCUUCCGGUGCGGUAAUGGCGGCGGUGGUGCCGCGACUCCGGUGGUGGUCGAGCUCAGAUCUCGUCCUUCGCUCACCAGUCGCCCGACGGCAAGUAACAUCUGAAGCUGUAAAUUUUCUGCUUCUUUGGAUACCACAUUCUAGGAAAACAAGAUGAAAAACUUGAAUUGUUGAUAAUAAGUUGUGUGGAAGGCUUGCUAGGCCUGAAAGCUGGUCAAGGGCACACCAAUCUCACAGGCCAAAUGCGGAUCAGUGGAAAAGAGAUUUCUGUUUGCUGCAUAACAGCAAGAGGAUCAAGAAAAAUAAAGGUUAAAAUGGUGUCAUGGUGUCUUCUAUACCUUUCCUGGCCAAUUCCUCUAUUUAAUGAUAAAUGUAUACAGAGGUCCACACACAGAAGAAUUAACAGGAGCUUAACCUCCUACUUCGGAGCCUAACUUCUGUCAGUUAUAGUUUUUAAUUUGAAGUAUGUGCUACUCUGUGCUGCUUUGUCAAAGUAUGGUCUUUUGAGAGAUUUUGUUAAGUCCCUGUCAUAAAUGUUUCAUGAGUGUCAGCACCAAGCAUCAGCUAUAAUAAAAAUGUGUAUUUUUUCUGUACUUUUAUAUUC
rnacentral:lncRNA from 1 species